CCUGCCUUCAAGAUGGGACAACAGACGGAAACGACUGCUAAUACCGAAUACGAUCCGAAAGUCGCAUGACAUUUGGAUGAAAAGGGUGGCCUAUCGAAGAAGCUAUCGCUUGAAGAGGGGUUUGCGUCCGAUUAGGUAGUUGGUGAGGUAACGGCCCACCAAGCCGACGAUCGGUAGCCGGUCUGAGAGGAUGAACGGCCACACUGGAACUGAGACACGGUCCAGACUCCUACGGGAGGCAGCAGCC
rnacentral:rRNA from 1 species